rnacentral:rRNA from 1 species
GACGAACGCUGGCGGCGUGCUUAACACAUGCAAGUCGAACGGAAAGGCCCUGCUUUUGUGGGGUGCUCGAGUGGCGAACGGGUGAGUAACACGUGAGUAACCUGCCCUUGACUUUGGGAUAACUUCAGGAAACUGGGGCUAAUACCGGAUAUGAUCUCCUGCUGCAUGGUGUGGGUUGGAAAGUUUCGGCGGUGGGGGAUGGACUCGCGGCUUAUGAGCUUGUUGGUGGGGUAGUGGCUUACCAAGGCUUUGACGGGUAGCCGGCGUGAGAGGGGGACCGGCCACAUUGGGCCUGAGAUACGGCCCAGACCCGUACGGGAGGCAGCGGUGGGGAACAUUGCACAAUGGGCCGAAGCCUGAUGUAGAGACCCCGCGUGCGGAAUGACGGCCUUCGGGUUGUAAACCGCUUUCGCAUGUGCCGAAGCCUGAGUGACGGUACUGGGUAAAGAAGCCACGGCUAACUACGUG